rnacentral:rRNA from 1 species
AGCUCCAAUAGCGUAUAUUAAAGUUGUUGCGGUUAAAAAGCUCGUAGUUGGAUUUCUGUCGGUGAGUGGCAGUGCGGCCUCGUGUCGUCAACUCGUCGCGCCACCGGCAUCUUCCUGGGGACUGUAUCUGCUCUUAACUGAGUGGUGCAUAAUCCAGGACUUUUACUUUGAAGAAAUAGGAGUGUUUCAAGCAGGCAUGCGCCGUGAACACGUUAGCAUGGAAUAAUAGCAUCGGACCUCGUUCCAAAGCUGUUGGUU